rnacentral:lncRNA from 1 species
ACCUACGGAAACCUUGUUACGACUUCUCCUUCCUCUAAAUGAUAAGGUUCAAUGGACUUCUCGCGACGUCCUGCUGGGUGUUUACAAAGGGCAGGGACGUAGUCAACGCGAGCUGAUGACACGCGCUUACUAGGAAUUCCUCGUUGAAGACCAACAAUUGCCAUGAUCUAUCCCCAUCACGAUGAAAUUUCAAAGAUUACCCGGGCCUGUCGGCCAAGGCUAUAAACUCGUUGAAUACAGAAGUGUAGCGCGCGUGCGGCCCAAAACAUCUAAGGGCAUCACAGACCUGUUAUUGCCUCAAACUUCCGCGGCCAAAAAGGUCGUAGUCCCUCUAAGAAGCUGGCCGCGAAGGGAUACCUCCGCAUAGCUAGUUAGCAGGCUGAGGUCUCGUUCGUUAACGGAAUUAACCAGACAAUACCUCCGCAUAGCUAGUUAGCAGGCUGAGGUCUCGUUCGUUAACGGAAUUAACAAGACAAAUCGCUCCACAAACUAAGUCGGGGUUUUAUCUAAUAAAUGCAUCUCUUCCAGAAGUCAGGGUUUGUUGCACGUAUUAGCUCUAGAAUUACUACAGUUAUCCGAGAUGUAGAUACCAUCAAACAAACUAUAACUGAUUGAAUGAGGCAUUCGCAGUUUCACAGUCUGAAUUUGUUCAUACUUACACAUGCAUGGCUUAAUCUUUGUGACAAGCAUAUGACUAUUGGCAGGGUCAACCAGGUAGCAUUCCUCAUUGACGCUGGCAUCGCAUGAGCGUGGCCGACCCAAAAGGGCACGGCCAAGUCCAAGGCGAGCACGACCGUCAUUCGUAAGGAGCAUUCUUUGGGCAGAUAGAAGCCAAUGAAGGCCCCGUGCCUAUUUCGUAUACCAAAUCCGAGAGCCCGAUCAUGCUAAGUUGUGGACCAAGCCAUCGCAAGGCGAAGCCAGGACGACCUGGGACACAACUGCAGCUUUUGGUUCCUUGACUGAGAUGGCAUGCGAGCUAGGACGUUGCUGGUCGAGGAAGGAGCCAACCUAGUCACACAAGCCGAACACCACUCUUGUGCCGCACGUAUACUUGCCUCGCCGAUACAAAGCCAACACAAGCCCCAACACGUGACGCGCAGCGAUGUAUUGUUGCCGAUGCCAACAUUGCAAACCAAGACAACCCCCGCAAAGCACGAAUAGGGGGUUUGAGCAAUGCCAGACACAACCCACAAUAACCAAUGGCAAUCGGCAACUUACUAAGCUUCGCCUCGUGUGAACGACACCUUGCUGCGCCACUUGCACGAUGCUUUGCCAUUUUGUUGCCAAAAGCCAUCAGCCGCCACGAGCGAUGUUGCCUCCCGAUGUUGCCCGCAACAACAGAUGGCAAUCAGCAACUUACUAAGCUUCCCCCCGUGCCCACGGCACCUUGCGGCGCUACUUGCACGAUGCUUUGGCAAUUUGUUGCCAAAAGCCAUCAGCCGCCAUGAGCGAUUUCGCCUCACGAUGUUGCCCGCAACGACCGAUGGCAAUCAGCAACUUACUAAGCUUUGCCCCGUGCGCACGGCAAAUUGCGGCGCUACUUGCACGAUUCUUUGCCAUUUUGUUGCCAAAAGCCAUCAGUUACCACGAGCGAUGUCGCCUCCCGAUGUUUCCCGCAACAACCGAUGGCAAUGAACAUCUACUGAGCUUUGCCCCGUGCGCACGGAACCUUACGGCGCUACUUCCAUGAUGCUCCGCCGUUCGUUGUCAAAAGCCAUAAGACGCCAUGGAGACACAACCCACAACAAUCGAUGGCAAUAGGCAACUUUCUCCGUUUCGCCCCAUGCGCACGGCACCUUGCGGCGCUACUUGUACGACGCUCCGCCGUUCCAUUGACGAAAGCCAUCAACCGCCAUGAGCGAUGUUGCCCGCAACAACCGAUGGCAAUCGACAUCUAUUGAGCAUCGCCCCAUGCGCACGGCACCUUGCGGCGCAACUUGCACGAGGCUCGGCCGUUCGUUGUUGAAAGCCAUCAGCCUCUACGAGAUAUUCCAGACACAACCCACAACAACCGAUGGCAAUCAACAACAACUUACUAAGCUUCNNNNNNNNNNNNNNNNNNNNNNNNNNNNNNNNNNNNNNNNNNNNNNNNNNNNNNNNNNNNNNNNNNNNNNNNNNNNNNNNNNNNNNNNNNNNNNNNNNNNNNNNNACUCCCCACCUGACAAUGUCUUCCGCCCGGAUCGGCCUGCAAGCAAGCCUUGGGUCCAAAAAGAGGGGCAGUGGCACCUUGCGGCGCUACUUGCACGAUGCUUUGCCGUUCUGUUGUCAAAAGCCAUCAGCCUCCACGAGCGAUGUCGCCUCCCGAUUUUUCCCACAACAUCCAAUGGCGAUAAACAAGUACUAAGUUCUCCCCAUGCGCGCGGCACCUUGCUGCACUACUUGCAUGACGUUCCACCGUGCAUUUCCAAAAGCCAAUGUUUGCCACGAGCGGUGCCAGCACCAGGAUUACUACGAGCCCACACGAGUACUUGCUGGCACUGUUUGGGAACAUCGAGGACGUAGCACGGACAAGCCGUGCAUGCCCCCAAUACCCACGCCCCAUGCCAGCGUCCCCAAUGCAUGCCCGCCCCUUCCUGGCAGCAAGCACCUGACGUGCCUCUAAACACCUCUACCACCCUAAUAUAUGCUUAAAAAAAAACCCAAGUUUCAAGAGUAGACUUGUUUUGUCCAGAGAAUCAUAAUAGACAUGUACAACACCAAAUAGCACAAACCAAAGUACAACUUGGCUAAUAUAUUGACAAAUGACUUUUAAGUUUCAAGAGUAGACUUGUUUUGUCCAGAGAAUCAUAAUAGACAUGUACAACACCAAAUAGCACAAACCAAAGUACAACUUGGAUAAUAUAUUCACAAAUGAAUUUUAAACAUUGUAAAUGAUAUUUUUUUUUAAAACUUAUACUUUUUUGAUAUAUUUUUAUUUAAAAACGAAAAACACUUAAUAAAAUACUAAAAAUUAUGAAAAUUAUUAUAAUAAUAGAAAAAAUGAUGGAGAAAAAUUCCAAUACAACUUGUAAUAGUAUAAUAUAUAAAAGAGAAAAUAUUUUUAUUAAAAAGUGACAUAAAAAUAAUUUAAAAUAAGAAGAAAUGCAUAUAAAUUACUACAUAUAUUAAAAAUAGGAAAAAUGCAUAAUAUUAUUAUUAAAGCGUAUAGAUGACCAAACGCCAAUAAGCACGAGGCACCACCAUUGUCGCAACCACAACAAGUGAUUGCGAUUUGAAAAAACCGCUGCCAACCACAAAGCGUCGACCAACCGUCGUCGGUGGAUACCGCUCGAGCCACCGCGACUUUCCACCACCGCCACCAACGACCACCAACAUCAUUGCGCUUGACGUGUUGCCCAGUAGAUACCGCUCGAGCCAAUGCGACUUUACACCACCGCCACCAAUUACCACAAAAAUCAUUGCGCUUGACGUGUUGCCCAACCACAACAAGUGAUUAGGAUUUGAACAAACCGCUGCCAACCACCAAGCGUCGGCUGACUGUCGCCCAACGCUACCGCUCGAACCACCCCGUUUCCACCGCCGCCGCCAACGACCACCAACAUCAUUGUGCUUGACAUGAUUCUAAGCAUUGGUUAGCAAUAGAGGUGGUGCGAUGUGGUGCGGUAUCGUGCCAUGGCCAUAUCCUUCCAUCUACUGCGACGUCCUGUCACGUACCAUGGCCAUGUCCUGACACGUACCAUGGCCAUGUCCUGACAUGUCCUGAAACGUACCAUGACCAUAUCCUGCCAUGUCUUGCAACGUACUGACACGUACCAUGGCCAUGUCCUAACGCGUCCUAACACGUGCCAUGGCCAUGUCUUGACACGUACCAUGGCCAUGUCCUGACACGUCCUGACACGUACCACGGCCAUAUCCUGCCAUGUCCUGCGACGUCUUGACUCGUGCCAUGGCCCCGCCCUGCCAUGUCCUGACGAGUCANNNNNNNNNNNNNNNNNNNNNNNNNNNNNNNNNNNNNNNNNNNNNNNNNNNNNNNNNNNNNNNNNNNNNNNNNNNNNNNNNNNNNNNNNNNNNNNNNNNNNNNNNNNNNNNCCAUGUCUUGACACGUACCAUGGCCAUGUCCUGACACGUCCUGACACGUACCACGGCCAUAUCCUGCCAUGUCCUGCGACGUCCUCACUCCUGCCAUGGCUACGCCCUGCCAUGUCCUGACGCGUCUUGACACGUGCCAUGGCCAUGUUCUGACACGUCUUGACUCGUGCCAUGGCCACGCCAUGCCAUAUCCUGCGACAUCUCGACUCGUGCCAUGGCCACGCCCUGCCAUGUCCUGACGCGUUCUGACACGUGCCAUGGCCAUUUCCUGAUGCGUCCUGACAUGUACCAUUGCCACGCCCUGCCAUCCACUAUGACGUCAUGAGUCAUGACAUGGCCACGCCCUGCCAUGUCUUGCGACGUCUGGACUCAUGCCAUGGCCACGCUCUGCCAUGUCCUGCGACGUCUCCACUCGUGCCAUGGCCAUGCCCUGCCAUGUCCUGACACGUACCAUGGCCAUGUCCUGAUGCGUCUUGCGACGUCCUGACUCUUGCCAUGGCUACGCCGUGCCAUGUCCUGCACCGUCAUGAGUCAUGCCAUGGUCACGCCCUGCCAUGUCCUGCCAUGUCCUGAUGUGUCAUGACAUGUCCUGACACGUGCCACUGCCAUGUCUUGACGUGUCCUGACACGUGCCGCUACCAUAUCCUGAAGCGUCCUGACACGUGCAUUGCCAUAUCCUGCCGCACCGCUCCCGAGUUUUUAAACAAGACCUCGGUUUGUGCUGCCUUGCAGGUUUCGACAAUGAUCCUUCCGCAGGUUCAGCUACGGAAACCUAGAUAUGACUUCUCCUUCCUCUAUUUGAUAAGGUUCAAUGGACUUCUCACGACGUCGCAGGCAGCACACCGCCCACAUCGCAGCGAUCCUAACAUUUCACCGGAUCAUUCAAUCUAUAGGAGCGAAGGGCGGUGUGUACAAAGGGCAUGGACGUAGUCAACACGAGCUGAUUACUUGCGCUUACUAGGAAUUCCUCGUUGAAGACCAACAAUCGCAAUGAUCCAUCCCCAUCAAGAUGAAUUUUCAAAGACUACCCGGGCCUGUCGGCCAAGGCUAUAAACUCGUUGAAUACAUCAGCGUAGCGCGCGUGCGGCCCAGAACAUCUAAGGGUAUCACAGACCUGUUAUUGCCUCAAACUU